GACGUAGGGUGCAAGCGUUGUCCGGAUUUAUUGGGCGUAAAGAGCUCGUAGGCGGCUUGUUGCGUCGACUGUGAAAACCCGCGGCUUAACCGCGGGCUUGCAGUUGAUACGGGCAGGCUAGAGUUCGGUAGGGGAGACUGGAAUUCCUGGUGUAGCGGUGAAAUGCGCAGAUAUCGUAAGGAAGACCAGUGGCGAAGGCGGGUCUCUGGACAGUUCUGACGCUGAGGCACGAAGGCCAGGGGAGCAAACGGG
rnacentral:rRNA from 1 species